rnacentral:rRNA from 1 species
GCAUAUCAAUAAGCGGAGGAAAAGAAACUAACAAGGAUUCCCCUAGUAACUGCGAGUGAAGCGGGAAAAGCUCAAAUUUAAAAUCUGGCGGUCUUUGGCCGUCCGAGUUGUAGUCUGGAGAAGUGCUUUCCGCGCUGGACCGUGUAUAAGUCUCUUGGAACAGAGCGUCAUAGAGGGUGAGAAUCCCGUCUUUGACACGGACUACCAGUGCUUUGUGAUGCGCUCUCAAAGAGUCGAGUUGUUUGGGAAUGCAGCUCAAAAUGGGUGGUGAAUUCCAUCUAAAGCUAAAUAUUGGCGAGAGACCGAUAGCGAACAAGUACCGUGAGGGAAAGAUGAAAAGCACUUUGGAAAGAGAGUUAAACAGUACGUGAAAUUGCUGAAAGGGAAACGCUUGAAGUCAGUCGCGUUUGCCGGAACUCAGCCUUCCUUUUGGUUGGUGCACUUUCCGGUAGACGGGCCAGCAUCGAUUUCGACCGUCGGAUAAGGGCUGGGGAAAUGUGGCACCUUUCGGGGUGUGUUAUAGUCCUCAGUCGCAUACGUCGGUUGGGAUCGAGGAUCGCAGCGCGCCGCAAGGCAGGGGUUCGCCCACUUUCGCGCUUAGGAUGCUGGCAUAAUGGCUUUAAACGACCCGUCUUGAAACACGGACCAAGGAGUCUAACAAACCUGCGAGUGUUUGGGUGGAAAACCCGAGCGCGUAAUGAAAGUGAAAGUUGAGACCUCUGUCGUGGAGGGCAUCGACGCCCGGACCUGAAGUUCUCUGACGGUUCCGCGGUAGAGCAUGUUUGUUGGGACCCGAAAGAUGGUGAACUAUGCCUGAAUAGGGUGAAGCCAGAGGAAACUCUGGUGGAGGCUCGUAGCGAUUCUGACGUGCAAAUCGAUCGUCAAAUUUGGGUAUAGGGGCGAAAGACUAAUCGAAACCAUCUAGUAGCUGGUUCCUGCCGA